UCACGAGACCGAUAGCGAACAAGUACCGUGAGGGAAAGUUGAAAAGCACUUUGGAGAGAGAGUUAAAAAGUACGUGAAACCGUCGAGAGGCAAACGGGAGGGCCUGUCGGGUCGUUCGGUCGCUUUCAGGCGGGCCGGAGACCGGGUCGCGGGAUCGGGGACCUUCGCGGGCCUCGACUCGCGUCGCCGGCCGACGGCUCGGCGCACUAGCGUCGGACGAGGGCCGCGACCGGCUGGGCGGCGGGCAAACGGCUCCGGGCAAGGUAACCCCGCUUCGGCGGGGUGCUACAGGCCCGGUGCGCGCAAGGGUCGCCGCCCGGUCGAGGAGAGAUGCGCGCCGCACCUGCCCCGUUCGCGGGGCCGGGGAAGCCGUUCGAGCAGCGUCGUGUCGCGGUCCGGGACUGUCCUCAGUCCCGGGUCGUCUCGGCGCGGUUCCGAGCGGUCGCUCCCUCGCGAGGUGCCGCGGGUCAGCGGCUGACGCCAGCCACCUUCCCGACCCGUCUUGAAACACGGACCAAGGAGUCUAACAUGUGCGCGAGCCGCGGGGCAGUACGAAACCCGUAAGGCGAAAUGAAGGUGAACGCCGGCGCGGUCCGGCGGAGGUUGGAUCCCGUCCCGUCGGGGCGGGCGCACUACCGGCCGAUCUUCUCCGCCCUGUCGGCGAGGUCGAGCGAGAGCGCGCAAGUCGGGACCCGAAAGAUGGUGAACUAU
rnacentral:ncRNA from 1 species